rnacentral:misc_RNA from 1 species
GAUGAAGAACGUAGCGAAAUGCGAUACUUGGUGUGAUUUGCAGAAUCCCGUGAACCAUCGAGUCUUUGAACGCAAGUUGCGCCCGAAGCCAUUAGGCCGAGGGCACGCCUGCCUGGGCGUCACACGUCGUUGCCCCCCCAUCUAAUCCUUCGGGAUUGCGGGGGGCGGAUGAUGGCCUCCCGUGCGCCUCGUCGCGCGGUUGGCAUAAAUGCCAAGUCCUCGGCGACGCACGCCACGACAAUCGGUGGUUGCGAAACCUCGGUUGCCCGUCGUGUGCGGUCGUCGCGCAUCGAGGGCUCGAAAAAAUUGCCGGGCUCCGGCUCGACUUUCAACGCGACCCCAGGUCAGGCGGGGUUACCCGCUGAAUUUAAGCAUAUCAAUAAGCGGAGGA